rnacentral:rRNA from 1 species
UACGCGAGCUGGGUUCAGAACGUCGUGAGACAGUUCGGUCCCUAUCCGUCGCAGGCGUAGGAAAUUUGAGAAGACCUGUCCUUAGUACGAGAGGACCGGGAUGGACGUACCUCUGGUGUACCAGUUGUCCUGCCAAGGGCAUGGCUGGGUAGCUAUGUACGGAAUGGAUAAGCGCUGAAAGCAUCUAAGCGCGAAGCCAACUUCAAGAUAAGAUUUCCCACCGCAAGGGUAAGACCCCAGAAAGACUAUCUGGUUGAUAGGUCGAAGGUGUAAGUGCAGCAAUGUAUUUAGCUUAUCGAUACUAAUAGGUCGAGGACUUGACCAAU